UGUCAGCUUGUGACAUUUCACACAAGGCAAAUAUCUUACCCCAGUUUUCACCACUGAGAGCAUGCCUUUUGUAGCACAUGGUUUUCUCUGAAAAGCAGCACAGACAACACAAGUAUUCUUCUGUCUGUGCCUUAGAAAGAAAAGGUGACUUCUUUAAUCGCCAGCUCCUCAGAUGCAGUCUGACAGCUGGAAGCAAAGCUGUCAUGUUUCUGGCUUUUGAAGCACUGACAGCAACAAGAACACAAUGUCUCAGACUAUUCUGGACAGCCACAAGGCUAGGCUUGGGAGACUGGUGUCCUUGGAGAUCUUCUGCUGAGAGGGAAGGGUUUCUCCAGGGGCAGAAUGGGGAAACUACAGUGGUUCCUGACAGUCUCUGUAGCACAGCUCAAACCAGAGUAAAUGGGAACACAACAGCUGCAACUUCAAGCAUUGAAAAGCUAAGAAAUCCUUUUGCAAGCAUCCUCAGAAAAUCACUACUAUCUUACUUAUGCUCAGGCCUCAGUGACAGGUUCAACAUACACACCACUGCUCCUUCACUGUAUUGUAUUUUAAAGGAUCUCUGUUCAGUUUUGCUCAUGAGAUGCCUUGCAGAGCUCGAACAGGGUUUGGCCCCAUUCCUCUGUGGUCAUAAUUCAUACUUCUCCAUUUGAGCACAUUCUCAUUUGAAGCUAUUUACGAGGGCUCUAAGCAGCAGCAAAGAGCCUAUCGCUUUCCAUCAGGAGCCAAACACACACAGGCCUUUCCCCAGGCUGAGAUCUUGUUUCUCUGACACAGAGUUGAUAGAACUCCUGAUGCAAAUCGAAAAUAAUGCCUUUCUGCUUCUCUCCUUUCUGUCAAAGCAGCCUUGGGCAAUGGCUCUUUGUGUAGCUGGAGGAAAGCUGAGACUGCUCUGUCACCAUGAGCGUCUGCAGUACUGCUGUAUGCAGGCAGCCUUUUUCUCUUCCAAGCAUGCUGGAUCCAGGACACAGAAGCAGGACGGCAGCCAACACAGCAAUGCCAGGCACUGCUGCCAGUGGCACUUUACUACUACUUCAAUUCCACCUCUGAAACAGGGCAAUGAAACAGUAUUGCCACCAGA
rnacentral:lncRNA from 1 species